rnacentral:rRNA from 1 species
CGUCUAUAUACGUAUAGCAUAUCAAUAAGCGGAGGAAAAGAAACUAACUAGGAUUCCCUCAGUAACGGCGAGUGAAGCGGGAAGAGCUCAAAUUUGAAAUCUUCAAGGUUCUACCUUGACGAAUUGUAGUUUAAAGAAGUGUUUUCUGUUGGAGUUUUGGUAAAAGUUCUUUGGAAUAGGACAUCAUAGAGGGUGAGAAUCCCGUAUUUGACCAUUAUUUCCAACUUUGUGAUACACUUUCAAAGAGUCGGAUUGUUUGGGAAUGCAGUCCAAAAUGGGUGGUAAAUUUCAUCUAAAGCUAAAUACUGGCGAGAGACCGAUAGCGAACAAGUACCGUGAGGGAAAGAUGAAAAGAACUUUGAAAAGAGAGUUAAACAGUACGUGAAAUUGUCAAAAGGGAAGCGUUUGACACCAGUGCUGUUUUCUCGAAAAUCAAUUAAAAAUGACUGGAUUUUGUGUUGUAUUAGAUCUUAUCAAGCUUUCUUCACUUUUUCCUGUCUUUUUAAUGCACUUUUCGUUUAACAAGUCAGCAUCAGGUUUCUUUUGUUGUAAAAGAGUCAUUGGAAGGUGGCUUUCACUUUCGGAUGAAAGUGUUUAUAGCCUUUGACUUCUGCAAUCGGAGAGAUUGAGGUCUGCAGCGUAGAUCCUUCUGGAUUAGAUGCAUUUGUGCUAAGUUAUAGCCUUUCAUAGACAACUUGUUGACUAUGAUCAGUCAUGUAGCUUACUCGCUUAUGUCAUUUUACCUACGCUUAGGAUGUUGACGAUCAGCUGAGCGCG